AAUAAUACCAAAAAUUUAAGUAAAGUGGAUUGUCAACUUUGACGUCCCUCUCCUAAGGAUUCUUAUGGGAUAAGCGUAGGGAUCUCGUGAUAUUUAAGGGAGCCCGUCGGGAUACCGGAUCCUCUUUCGCGUCCUUGCUUUGAAGAUGACAAAGAAAAGAAGGAACAACGGUCGUGCCAAAAAGGGUCGUGGCCAUGUGCAACCUAUUCGCUGCACGAACUGCGCCCGAUGCGUUCCCAAAGACAAAGCUAUAAAGAAGUUCGUCAUUCGGAACAUAGUGGAGGCCGCGGCUGUGAGGGAUAUUUCUGAAGCGAGUGUCUUCGACGGUAACUUAUGUGCUUCCCAAGCUCUAUGUGAAGCUACAUUACUGUGUGAGUUGUGCCAUUCACAGCAAGGUAGUCAGGAACCGUUCUCGGGAAGCCCGCAAGGACCGAACACCUCCACCCAGAUUUAGACCUGCGGGUGCUGCCCCAAGACCUCCACCAAAGCCCAUGUAAGGAGUUGAGUUCUUGAGGACUGAAGAAUAACUAUCCUUUGGGAAAAAAAUAAAAUGGAAAUUAUACUUAA